rnacentral:rRNA from 1 species
AACACAUGCAAGUCGAGNGGGCAUCAGUUUGGUUUGCUUGCAAACCAAAGCUGGCGACCGGCGCACGGGUGAGUAACACGUAUCCAACCUACCUCAUACUCGGGGAUAGCCUUUCGAAAGAAAGAUUAAUAUCCGAUAGCAUAUAUUUCCCGCAUGGGUUUUAUAUUAAAGAAAUUCGGUAUGAGAUGGGGAUGCGUUCCAUUAGUUUGUUGGGGGGGUAACGGCCCACCAAGACUACGAUGGAUAGGGGUUCUGAGAGGAAGGUCCCCCACAUUGGGACUGAGACACGGUCCAAACUCCUACGGGAGGCAGCAGUGAGGAAUAUUGGUCAAUGGACGCGAGUCUGAACCAGCCAAGUAGCGUGAAGGAUGACUGCCCUAUGGGUUGUAAACUUCUUUUAUAUGGGAAUAAAGUGGUCCACGUGUGGACUUUUGUAUGUACCAUAUGAAUAAGGAUCGGCUAACUCCGUGCCAGCAGCCGCGGUAAUACGGAGGAUCCGAGCGUUAUCCGGAUUUAUUGGGUUUAAAGGGAGCGUAGGCGGAUUGUUAAGUCAGUUGUGAAAGUUUGCGGCUCAACCGUAAAAUUGCAGUUGAUACUGGCAGUCUUGAGUGCAGUAGAGGUGGGCGGAAUUCGUGGUGUAGCGGUGAAAUGCUUAGAUAUCACGAAGAACUCCGAUUGCGAAGGCAGCUCACUGGAGUG